rnacentral:tRNA from 1 species
UUAAUUGAAGCCAAAUACGAGGCCUAUCACUGUUAAUGAUAUCAUUGAAUUUUAUUUCCAAUUAAA